CGGCAGCACGGAGCUUGCUCUGGUGGCGAGUGGCGAACGGGUGAGUAAUAUAUCGGAACGUACCCUAGAGUGGGGGAUAACGUAGCGAAAGUUACGCUAAUACCGCAUACGAUCUAAGGAUGAAAGUGGGGGAUCGCAAGACCUCAUGCUCGUGGAGCGGCCGAUAUCUGAUUAGCUAGUUGGUAGGGUAAAAGCCUACCAAGGCAUCGAUCAGUAGCUGGUCUGAGAGGACGACCAGCCACACUGGAACUGAGACACGGUCCAGACUCCUACGGGAGGCAGCAGUGGGGAAUUUUGGACAAUGGGCGAAAGCCUGAUCCAGCAAUGCCGCGUGAGUGAAGAAGGCCUUCGGGUUGUAAAGCUCUUUUGUCAGGGAAGAAACGGUGAGAGCUAAUAUCUCUUGCUAAUGACGGUACCUGAAGAAUAAGCACCGGCUAACUACGUGCCAGCAGCCGCGGUAAUACGUAGGGUGCAAGCGUUAAUCGGAAUUACUGGGCGUAAAGCGUGCGCAGGCGGUUUUGUAAGUCUGAUGUGAAAUCCCCGGGCUCAACCUGGGAAUUGCAUUGGAGACUGCAAGGCUAGAAUCUGGCAGAGGGGGGUAGAAUUCCACGUGUAGCAGUGAAAUGCGUAGAUAUGUGGAGGAACACCGAUGGCGAAGGCAGCCCCCUGGGUCAAGAUUGACGCUCAUGCACGAAAGCGUGGGGAGCAAACAGGAUUAGAUACCCUGGUAGUCCACGCCCUAAACGAUGUCUACUA
rnacentral:rRNA from 1 species